rnacentral:rRNA from 1 species
AUUGAACGCUGGCGGAAUGCUUUACACAUGCAAGUCGAACGGCAGCACGGACUUCGGUCUGGUGGCGAGUGGCGAACGGGUGAGUAAUGUAUCGGAACGUGCCCAGUCGUGGGGGAUAACGUAGUGAAAAUUACGCUAAUACCGCAUACGAUCUAUGGAUGAAAGCGGGGGAUCGCAAGACCUCGCGCGAUUGGAGCGGCCGAUAUCAGAUUAGGUAGUUGGUGGGGUAAAGGCCCACCAAGACAACGAUCUGUAGCUGGUCUGAGAGGACGACCAGCCACACUGGAACUGAGACACGGUCCAGACUCUGACGGGAGGCAGCAGUGGGGAAUUUUGGACAAUGGGCGAAAGCCUGAUCCAGCCAUUCCGCGUGCAGGAUGAAGGCCCUCGGGUUGUAAACUGCUUUUGUACAGAACGAAAAGGUUUCUACUAAUACUAGGAGCUCAUGACGGUACUGUAAGAAUAAGCACCGGCUAACUACGUGCCAGCAGCCGCGGUAA